rnacentral:rRNA from 1 species
GAUGAGCGCUGGCGGCGUGCCUAAUACAUGCAAGUCGAGCGAACGGACGAGAAGCUUGCUUUUCUGAUGUUAGCGGCGGACGGGUGAGUAACACGUGGAUAACCUACCUAUAAGACUGGGAUAACUUCGGGAAACCGGAGCUAAUACCGGAUAAUAUUUUGAACCGCAUGGUUCAAAAGUGAAAGACGGUCUUGCUGUCACUUAUAGAUGGAUCCGCGCUGCAUUAGCUAGUUGGUAAGGUAACGGCUUACCAAGGCAACGAUGCAUAGCCGACCUGAGAGGGUGAUCGGCCACACUGGAACUGAGACACGGUCCAGACUCCUACGGGAGGCAGCAGUAGGGAAUCUUCCGCAAUGGGCGAAAGCCUGACGGAGCAACGCCGCGUGAGUGAUGAAGGUCUUCGGAUCGUAAAACUCUGUUAUUAGAGAAGAACAUAUGUGUAAGUAACUGUGCACAUCUUGACGGUACCUAAUCAGAAAGCCACGGCUAACUACGUG